ensembl:lncRNA
GUUGAAGGAUACAAGAGCAUUUGCUCCUCACCAAACUUUAACCUGUUCUUCAUUUCAACAACAAUGGUGCGUUUUGUCAUAAUGAUAAACUGAAAACUGAAAGUAAAAGAAUCGUCACCGACAGUCAGAGACUGCUCUGUCAACCGUUCCCUAUAGGGGUGUCUGAGCGGCUGCUGCAUCUGAAGUCACUGGAGGUCAGGGCAGUGAUCCUGGAGGGGUUGUUCCAGGGCAUGCUUCCAUAAUUCACAGCUUAUAACAGAAAGCAGCAAAGCAAAGUAUUCUUUAAGGUAUUGGCUGGAGCAUGGUGUGUCAGGGUUAGGGAUCUGUGACACAGAAGCAGCCUUCUCUGCAAAGGAUCUGGAUCAGAUGAAUCAGCCUCUAGCCCUCUUCCAUUCUCUGAGUCAGUCGUGUGCUCGUGAAGAGGCUCUACACUUUGGCAGAUUCACCUUCCUUUCCUUCAACGCCAGCAUGUCAUGCUCUGGCCUCAAUUCUACAGCCACACCUCCUAUAGCUUUCCUGCGCUCAUGGGCCUGCGUUCACUUCCUGAACCUGUUUAAUUUGGGUUCUGAACCUCACACUCUGGAUCCAGACUGGGCUCCCAGCUUACCUGUAACCAGCACAGAUCUUGACCGAUUUGGCCCCAUGUCUCUAAGGUCAAUAAAAAUGCAGCCACACGAGGCCAUUGUAAUAAAACUGCUUGAAUCUGACAACUCUUAAGACAAGUGGUUACCAGGCACACUGGAAUCUGGUUUGUCAGUCUAUAAGCAGAAGAUCGGAUCAAGGAAGAGUCGUGGAAGGAAUCCAGAUACGGUUGCAGUCCUGCUCUCUCUCCCUUUGUCAUUUUUUGACUUUACUCACACACAAGAAAAAAGGAAAUCCAGAAAAUAAGAGACACCGGAAUUUCCUACACUGUUUACUCCAAACUUUCCCAUACUGUUUAAACUUCAGAUAUUUAGAAAGAGACUGUCUGGAUGAACUGAGAUACAGGUAUAAAGAGCCAAGGAACUGUCACCUCAAAAGUAUUUACCUUUCAAUUUUGUAGUGGCAUGUGAUGAGACUCUUCAGAGGAGGGAUGACAGAAAUUAUGAUUGCAAGAAAGACUGGAUUUUCGGAAACUGUAACAUUUUAUUUCACCAUUUCAAUAAAAACCUUUAACAAAUACCUCAAAUGUCAUUC